rnacentral:rRNA from 1 species
UACGUAGGGGGCUAGCGUUGUCCGGAAUCAUUGGGCGUAAAGAGCGUGUAGGCGGUCCGGUAAGUCCGCUGUGAAAGUCGGGGGCUCAACCCUCGAAUGCCGGUGGAUACUGUCGGGCUAGAGUGCGGAAGGGGCGAGUGGAAUUCCUGGUGUAGCGGUGAAAUGCGCAGAUAUCAGGAGGAACACCUAUUGCGAAGGCAGCUCGCUGGGACGUAACUGACGCUGAGACGCGAAAGCGUGGGGAGCAAACAGG